CAACAGAACAACCUGCAAAUGAACGCAAGCUACCAAAGCAGAUCUCAUUCAACACCAACUAAAUGUUUUCCUUGUUGACUCAGUGGUAAAGAAUUGCCUACAAUGCUAUUCAAUCCCAAGUUCAGUCUCUGGGUCAGGAAGAUCCCCUGGAGAAGGAAAUGGCAACCCACUCCAGUCUUCUUCCCUAGGAAAUCCCAUGGACAGAGGAGCCUGGAUUUCAGGGCUGAAAAGACAAACAAGAAGUACGCUCGUAAUCACCAGCACAUUCACCUCGGCCAAGCCACAGCCGCUGCUAAUUCCAGGGCAUAUUUUUCUAAAUUCAAUUUAGGACGGGAGUCAGAGCAGGCCCCAGAGUCGGAAUGCACCAGUUCAUAUCCCAGCCUCCUCUGUAAACGCUGCAGUCGUGACAAUGAGAGUAAGGGACGUCAAAGUCGCGGGGAGCACCCGGCGUAUGGAGACUAUCACCAUCGUUGACUUCAUGGCGCCCUAGGCAGGAUCAGCC
ensembl:lncRNA